CAAUAGCGUAUAUUAAAGCUGUUGCGGUUAAAAAGCUCGUAGUUGGAUUUCUGUCAAGGACAACUGGUCCGCCCUUCGGGUGAGCACAUAGUUUGGUCUUGGCAUCUUGUUGGAAACUGUUGCUGCACUUGGUUGUGUGGCGCAGCGUCCAGCACUUUCACUUUGAGGAAAUUGGAGUGUUUCAAGCAGGCACAUGCCUUUGGACACAGUAGCAUGGAAUAAUUAGAUUGGGCUUUUGCUCCAACUUGUCGGUUUCUGGAGCUGAGGUGAGAAUUAAUGGGGAUUGUUGGGGGCAUCCGAAUUUAGCCGUCAGAGGUGAAAUUCUUGGAUUUGUUAAAGACGGACUACUGCGAAAGCAUUUGCCAAGGAUGUUUUCAUUGA
rnacentral:rRNA from 1 species